UCAGGCUGCUGCGUGGUUGGGGGUUUGUGUAUUUGCUUGUCCUGUCCUGGCCCACACACAUGGUGGGGAGUGAGCAGGAGCCCUCCCCCCUGCCUAUGGCAUGUGAGCCUUCAUGGGGAGGGGUCAUCCUGGGCCCACAGCCCCCAAGCAUACAUGUGUGCCCAUGUGGUCCUCUCUCUUGGAUUGGGAGGUUCCCCGAACUUGGUAACCCUUCCAGCUGGGCUCAGCUUCCUCUGUUCAACUGUGGAGGGCUUGUGAAGGCUCCCUGGCAAGGAAACAACGAUGAUAAUCUGGGGAAUCUCUGUCAAGAAUGAUCCUGUGGAUAAUCUCACGUCAAUGACAUCCUGGCAGGAGGCCUUCCUCCUCCCCCUCGGCACCACCUUGGUUUUGUUCAUUUAACAAGACCUUACAGGUCUCCAGAAAUAUCUUUUUUUUUUUUCUCUGAAUAGAAUUUAUAGUGGAAUAUAUAGUAGUAGAAAAACAUUAUUGAAUUCAACUCCAUAUAAAUCUGAAUGAGCACUCCCAGAUGAGCCUGAAUUUCAGAGAAACCUAGAGAUGAUAGCAAAGUCUUCCUGGGAUCUCUCUGAAGCUGAGUCCCGUUUGCUUUUUCCAUUGUAUACUUUGCUAGUAAUUUCUCCAGUCUAUUUUUAUGUAUCUGAAGCAUGGAUGAGAUUAUUCCACAGAGUAAUAUCAGCAAAUUCCUCUUGACAGUCAUGCUGUUUUAUUAAUUUCCUUUCUUUAUCCCUUCUUAUCCUUCCUUUUAGCACCUCAGUGAAUUUGUCUGUCCUCCAUGGUACUUGCACACAGACUUUCAAUAUCUGCAAAUAAUUGCAAUGUCUCCACACCUUCCCUAGAUGACUGCGCUAAGAUGAAGCUAAGCAGCCCCAACUCCAACAGAACUCUACUGCACAUCAACAUCGCAACGCUGUGGCUCCACCAAAGUCACCCCUAAGUGACUAUAUGACGAAGGACUUUACUGGUUAAUAUGUACAGGUCCCUCCACUUUUUAAUUGCUUUUAUUCAAGUUCAGGUUGAUCCUUCCCAGGAAAAAGGUUGAUCAGGUCCACUGAGCUUCUUUGUGGCCAACAUGCUGUCUGCUCCCACAGCUUCAGACUGCUUGCAAAGACACCACUGUGCCUUUAGGGAUCUGUUGGGGUGACAGGGUGAGGUUGUGUUGUGCCUCCAGAUGAUAGAGUACAUGACUCCUGUCCCUGGGAAGGGUCAUGGGAGAGCUGCUGUAAACCACCUGUGUGCCUUCUCAGUCUCAGCUUACUCCAGGAACUGGAGAGAACCCUGCUGUAGCCAAGGCCACUGUUAAGGCAGCCUCACUGAACAUGUUUUGUGAACUAACAUGUAGCUCAGAAACUUCUUAGCACUCCUUAGGAAAUAGCACUGCCUAGCGCUUAUUUCUAACACCACCAAACUCAUACGGGAGGUCUUUGUUGCAAAAGCAAGGAACUUUGGGGGUUAGCCUGGCUAUAUAAGCAAGAACACAGUGGAGUUAUAUGGCCAACAGCACUCUCUAGGCUAGAAAAUGGCUGGAUUAUUGUAAUAAGCUGAGGUAGCUGUAGUAUGGCCCAUAUGGCAUAGAAUGAGGAAAGCUGUCAGAAUUUGAGCAUGUUGGAUUGGCUGCACUGGCUUUUUUCUCAGCAAGCGAGGGCAGGGGAUCAGCAGGAUGAAGGCUGAGAAAGGUGCCCAAGAUUUCCUCAGCCAACUCAUUUAAUCUGUGAACAGGAUAGAGAGAGACAUUGCUUGGUGGACUGGUGGGUAAUGUCCCAUGUCCCAUGUCCCACGUAAGGGUCCUCACGUUUUUGGGGUGAUUUUGAAGAAUGGACUAAUCAGGAGACUUAUUCCUAAUAACAAGCAUGUUCAUGAACGGUUUCAGCUGAUGAUACUGAUGGGGGGUCAGUUUAUGCCUUUCCAUUUUUUCUCCUUUUAACUGAUAUAAUCACGGUCUGGUAUGUGAACAUGGUUACACAUUUAUGUACUGAUUGAUCAUCUCUGUGCACACAGAUUGUAUGCCUAAUGGCUCUUUCUUAUCACCUCUGAGGCCAGUCAAUUGCCUGCGCCUAUGAGCUAACAUCAGAAAGAAAUAGUGUUAUGUUCUCAUUACACGUUUGUAGGGGAGAAACCAGUCGCAUUACACAGACCUAUGGGAUCAGACUCCCUGGAACAUAAGAUGUGUGUGGGUGAACUUGGCCAAAGAGGCAGACAAGAAGACAAUUUACUAGCCCACCCCUGAAGAACACGAUGGGACUCCAGAGGAUGGAAUCGGGGGGCCCGCACAAAUACUUAGAGAAGUUAUUAACUUGUUUUGUAUUUCAGUGCUAGAAUUUUAAGCCUCAUAUUAAUUAUCCUUCAGCAAAGAGUGUUUUACUGUGGAAAAACAAUUACAUGCAUAGUGGGAGCUUUCCCAACUCUGAACUGAAGCAGCAAGAGUGUUGAAAUUUUAAUGAGGACCUUCUUUUCAUGCAGAGUUUCUCAGGUGCUCAGUUAAACCACUGUUAAUAAAAAACAAACAAAAUCGAACA
rnacentral:lncRNA from 1 species